CGGUCUCAUUCCGAACCCGGAAGCUAAGCCUUUCAGCGCCGAUGGUACUGCCCUGGAGACGGGGUGGGAGAGUAGGACGCCGCCGGAC
rnacentral:rRNA from 1 species